rnacentral:lncRNA from 1 species
GGAAGCUACCUUUCUUAAAACACAAGUUAUAUAACCCAUUCAAAGGUCAUUUUCAUUAUCAAAACAUGCAUUUCACAUUACAAGUCCAUACAAAAGUACAUCAUUUUGGCCUACUGUUAAAUUUUGGUCAACUAUUGACUUUUUUGUCAAACAAUUGACCAAAGUCAACUAACUAUCUUAAACCCUAAUUCUACUUUUUCCUUCAUUCAUAAUCCUUCCCAUGUUUGUUUAAAUGUCUUUUUGGGCCAUGACCUCUCCAUGUUCCAUGACAAUCUUUAUUCAUGCCUUCAUGACCAAAAUGUCAUGCCAAAACAUUAUUCCAUUCCAUGAUCCCACCAGCUCUGCAAAAUCGCAUACAAUGCACAAUUAAGAUUCAUGCCCAUACAUGGAUAAACAUAACCAUAUACACAAUCCUUAGCCAUGACAAGUAUAACUCAUGCAAGCAUAGCCAUGAUAGUUACACAUACAUAGAUCCAUAACCAAAAAACGCAUCAAACAAUACCAUAACAGUCCAAAUAACUCCAUAAACGAUCAAAAAGCCAUGUCAGUUCAAACAAUGGCAGCCUAACUCUCAAACUUCAAUAGUCAAGCUAAUUGUUUUUCAUUACAUCAAACUAUUUUCAAUUCAAACUUCAAAAUGCUAACAAUUCAUCCACAUAAACUAACUGCAAGUUCAAUUCAAUUAACAAUUUGACUAUUUCACAUUCCUAACUAAAAUUCAAAAGAGCAUUAAAACUUGAACCGACAUUCUAACCAAAUGUAUAAUUAAAAUCAUAACAUUAGCAUAAAAACCAACAUGAUUAGCUCAUUUUCUAUUAACAGCCUGCAAAUUCCUCUAACAGUUCAUGAUGUAACUAAUUCAAACUAUCAAAACUUCAAACAAAGUUCCCACUGUCAACACCAAUUAACUCAAAUAAACUAAUCUUAGCAUCUCAUUUACAAAUCCUUACUAACACAUUCACAAUUCACUAACAUAACUUCAACUCUUCACUGACACAAACUAACUUCUUCAUAACUUCAAAAUGUCAACCUAACAACCUCACUAACUUCAUUCAACUAAUUCAAUUCGAACUAACAUAACAACGCUCUUCAUAACUAACCUUAACAGAAAAUCAAAUCUAACACAACUAACACUCCAAUCAUCCUCUAACUUACUUUAACAGAAACAGUUUCACAAUGUUAACUCAAAACAACUUCCUUCAUUGAUCUUCAUUUGAAUCUAACUGUGCCAUAACUUGUAACAACCUGCCCCAUAGCUUUCCCGAAUCAGUUAACAAUCUCCUCUACAUAACCUUCACUCACCUUCAUUUCAUCAUCAACAAUCAUAUUCUGAAUCACUCUCAAUCUCCUUGAAGCACUAUGAGAUUUCUCUCUGAAGCUCUCUCUCUCUCUCUCUCUGUAUUUUCCCCCUCUACUUCAUCAUUAUCCUCUCAUGCGUAUGUAACAACAACAACACAGAGCAACAACAUCAACAAUAAUCGAUUUCUCCUACGAACUAAGAAUUCGAAAAAGGAGAAGAAGAUUACACCGAGUUCUAAUUACUGAC